rnacentral:rRNA from 1 species
GAUGAACGCUAGCGGCGGGCCUAAUACAUGCAAGUUGAACGGGAUUGUUGGUAGCAAUAUUGACAUGAGAGUGGCGCACGGGUGCGUAACACGUAUGUAACCUACCUUUAACUGGGGCAUAGCUUCGAGAAAUCGAAAUUAAUACCCCAUAACAUUUAGAAAAGGCAUCUUUUCUUUAUCAAAGCUCAGGCGGUUAAGGAUGGACAUGCGGUGCAUUAGCUUGUUGGUGAGGUAACGGCUCACCAAGGACGUACGAUGCAUAGGGGGUCGGUGAGAGGAGUGAUCCCCCACCACUGGUACUGAGACACGGACCAGACUCCUACGGGAGGGCAGCAGUAGGGAA